rnacentral:rRNA from 1 species
GACGAAGGGGCUAGCGUUGUUCGGAAUUACUGGGCGUAAAGCGCGUGUAGGCGGUUGUCCAAGUUGGAUGUGAAAGCCUUGAGCUCAACUCAAGAAAUGCAUUCAGGACUGGAUGACUAGAGGACCGGAGAGGAUAGUGGAAUUCCAGUGUAGUGGUGAAAUACGUAAGAGAUUGGGAAGAACACAGUGGCGAAGGCGGCUAUCUGGGACGGUUUCUGACGCUAAGACGGCGA